rnacentral:sRNA from 1 species
CACAUAGGCCGGCCCCACAGCGGCAUUGGACUCAGAAGACUGAUGAGGCUGCCAGGUAUGGCAGAUCUGCUCAGCUGUUCUCCAUAGCCAACCCCUCCCUGGCUGGGUUGCCUUCACUUGGCUGUAGGUGAUUUGGCUAUAACCUGGCACUUCUAGUUGUGGCAUCCCAGACCAGGAGGAAGACGACUGCAAGAACAUUGCCAACAUCAUGAAGACACUUGCCUAUCGAGGCUUCAUCUUCAAGCAGACAUCGAAGCCGUUCUGAUUGGCCGAGGACAGGAUGGGGCAGGACAGGGUAGCUGUUUGGCCCAGCCCAGAAUCCUCCUCUCCCUCACCAGAGGGGAUGAGGGAGAGUGGCAUAGCUCUGUGUCCAGAGUGUCCCCAGCUGCCCUGU